UACGUGGGGUGCAAGCGUUGUUCGGAAUUACUGGGCGUAAAGCGUGUGUAGGCGGCUCGCUAAGUCUGGUGUGAAAUCCCCAAGCUUAACUUGGGAACUGCAUCGGAAACUGGCGAGCUUGAGUCCGGGAGAGGGUAGUGGAAUUCCUGGUGUAGAGGUGAAAUUCGUAGAUAUCAGGAGGAACACCGGUGGCGAAGGCGGCUACCUGGACCGGUACUGACGCUGAGACACGAAAGCGUGGGGAGCAAACAGG
rnacentral:rRNA from 1 species